rnacentral:rRNA from 1 species
ACGCUGGCGGCAGGCCUAACACAUGCAAGUCGAGCGGAAACGACAACAUUGAAUCUUCGGAGGAUUUGUUGGGCGUCGAGCGGCGGACGGGUGAGUAAUGCCUAGGAAAUUGCCUUGAUGUGGGGGAUAACCAUUGGAAACGAUGGCUAAUACCGCAUAAUGCCUACGGGCCAAAGAGGGGGAUCUUCGGACCUCUCGCGUCAAGAUAUGCCUAGGUGGGAUUAGCUAGUUGGUGAGGUAAUGGCUCACCAAGGCGACGAUCCCUAGCUGGUCUGAGAGGAUGAUCAGCCACACUGGAACUGAGACACGGUCCAGACUCCUACGGGAGGCAGCAGUGGGGAAUAUUGCACAAUGGGCGAAAGCCUGAUGCAGCCAUGCCGCGUGUAUGAAGAAGGCCUUCGGGUUGUAAAGUACUUUCAGUUGUGAGGAAGGGGGUAACGUUAAUAGCGUUAUCUCUUGACGUUAGCAACAGAAGAAGCACCGGCUAACUCCGUGCCAGCAGCCGCGGUAAUACGGAGGGUGCGAGCGUUAAUCGGAAUUACUGGGCGUAAAGCGCAUGCAGGUGGUUCAUUAAGUCAGAUGUGAAAGCCCGGGGCUCAACCUCGGAACUGCAUUUGAAACUGGUGA